UACAGAGGGUGCGAGCGUUAAUCGGAAUUACUGGGCGUAAAGCGUGCGUAGACGGUUAUUUAAGUCGGGUGUGAAAGCCCCGGGCUCAACCUGGGAAUUGCAUUCGAGACUGAAUAGCUAGGGUACGGUAGAGGGAAGUGGAAUUUCCGGUGUAGCGGUGAAAUGCGUAGAUAUCGGAAGGAACAUCAGUGGCGAAGGCGACUUCCUGGCCUGUUCUUGACGCUGAGGCGCGAAAGCUAGGGGAGCAAACGGG
rnacentral:rRNA from 1 species